rnacentral:tRNA from 4 species
GACUCUAUAGCUCAGUAGGAUAGAGCAAGUGCCUCCUAAGCACUAGGUCGUGGGUUCGAUUCCCUCUAGAGUCG